rnacentral:snoRNA from 17 species
UUUCCAUGAUGAGAAACAUUUUUUACAGUUCUGCUUCUGCAAACUCAUUGAAGAAAACCAAAUACCUUACCAAAUCUACUGAUAU